UGCGGGAUCGUCUAAUGGUAGGACAACGGAUUUUGGAUCCGUUUAUCUUGGUUCGACCCCAAGUCCCGCAG
rnacentral:tRNA from 1 species